GUCCAACUGACGAGUCCCAAAUAGGACGAAACACGCGUCCCGUAU
rnacentral:hammerhead_ribozyme from 1 species